rnacentral:rRNA from 1 species
GAUGAACGCUAGCUACAGGCUUAACACAUGCAAGUCGAGGGGCAGCAUUAAAGUUUGCUUGCAAACUUUAGAUGGCGACCGGCGCACGGGUGAGUAACACGUAUCCAACCUGCCGAUAACUCGGGGAUAGCCCUUCGAAAGAAAGAUUAAUACCCGAUGGUAUAUUUUCACCGCAUGGUGAAACUAUUAAAGAAUUUCGGUUAUCGAUGGGGAUGCGUUCCAUUAGGCAGUUGGUGAGGUAACGGCUCACCAAACCUUCGAUGGAUAGGGGUUCUGAGAGGAAGGUCCCCCACAUUGGAACUGAGACACGGUCCAAACUCCUACGGGAGGCAGCAGUGAGGAAUAUUGGUCAAUGGGCGCGAGCCUGAACCAGCCAAGUAGCGUGAAGGAUGACGGCCCUAUGGGUUGUAAACUUCUUUUAUAUGGGAAUAAAGUUUGGUAUGUAUACCAUUUUGUAUGUACCAUAUGAAUAAGGAUCGGCUAACUCCGUGCCAGCCGCCGCAGUAAUAC